rnacentral:lncRNA from 1 species
UGAAGAGUAUUAAAACCAUCCUGCAGAAGUAAUUAGCGACCAGAAGGGGGCUCUCUUGUGUUACACUAGCGGUUGCCAAACACUUCCAUGCUGUGGUGGCCCGACUAAAGCCUUUGGAUAUAUCUUUCUGCAGCUUACUAACUAAACAAAAGCAAUGUUGUUCAGCACAAAUACAACAUUCUCACUCUCUACUCCACCAACAGGGCGGAGAGGAAGAGAGCCAGUGUGAAGCAGCAGAGUCUCAGCAGAAACCUCUUCAUCCUGGAAAGAACGGACCAAUCAGGACAGCCAUAUUUCAGUCCCGCCCCUCAGGUCCAGGAAGUAUGUCAGGAGGUGGAUGAGUUCAUCUAUGUGGCCAAUGCAGAGACAGGAAGAGGUAACACCAAGACUCCAACACAUUCCUCAUACUUGCUCCUAUUCCUAGGCCCUUGUUGCCAGCCAGAUAAUCUUGUCAAGCAAACUGACUCCUGCGCUCACAGAAUAUGAGCUAUCGCAACAUCAGGCUGGUUCCACCAGGCUACCUUCCAGGACCAGAGCCAGUGAAAGGUGGUGAGGGGGAGGCGUCUCAGAUCCAGGCAUUGGUGGACCCUGCCUAGUGUUCGUCCUCCAGAACCCUCCUGGUCCUGACUUUUGUGUCCAGAGAGGAACCAGACCCAAUCAGAACCACUAGUCCCAGUACUGCUAGAUUAAAGACCAGGAACCCCAGUGUGGAUAUUGCACAGAGGCUCUGCCUGUCCCUGCUACCCAACCUCUGUCUGUCUGUCUGUCUGUCUGUCUGUCUGUCUGUCUGUCUGUCUGUCUGUCUGUCUGUCUGUCUGUCUGUCUGUCUGUCUGUCUGUCUGUCUGCCUGCCUGCCUGCCUGCCUGCCUGCCUGCCUGCCUGCCUGCCUGCCGGAGUGCUCUGGUCUCAGACUGUAGCUAGCUGUCUAAGGAGCCUGUCUGCUGGGGUGCUCUGGUCUCAGGCAGUAGCUAGCUGUCUAAGGAGCCUGUCUGCUGGGGUGCUCUGGUCUUAGACUGUAGCUAGCUGUCAGAGGAUCCUGUCUGCUGGGGUGUUCUGGUCUCAGGCUGUAGCUAGCUGUCCAAGGAACCUGUCUGCUGGGGUGCUGUGGUCUCAGACUGUAGCUAGCUGUCAGAAGUUCCUGUCUGCUGGGGUGCUCUGGUCUCAGGCUGUAGCUAGCUGUCAGAGGAUCCUGUCUGCUGGGGUGCUCUGGUCUCAGACUGUAGCUAGCUGUCAGAGGUUCCUGUCUGCUGGAGUGCUCUGGUCUCAGGCUGUAGCUAGCUGUCUAAGGAGCCUGUCUGCUGGGGUGCUCUGGUCUCAGACUGUAGCUAACUGUCAGAGGAUCCUGUCUGCUGGGGUGUUCUGGUCUCAGGCUGUAGCUAGCUGUCCAAGGAUCCUGUCUGCUGGGGUGCUGUGGUCUCAGACUGUAGCUAGCUGUCAGAGGUUCCUGUCUGCUGGGGUGCUCUGGUCUCAGGCUGUAGCUAGCUGUCAGAGGAUCCUGUCUGCUGGGGUGCUCUGGUCUCAGGCUGUAGCUAGCUGUCAGAGGAUCCUGUCUGCUGGGGUGCUCUGGUCUCAGGCUGUAGCUAGCUGUCAGAGGAUCCUGUCUGCUGGGGUGCUGUGGUCUCAGGCUGUAGCUAGCUGUCAGAGGAUCCUGUCUGCUGGGGUGCUGUGGUCUCAGGCUGUUGCUAGCUGUCAGAGGAUCCUGUCUGCUGGGGUGCUGUGGUCACAGGAUCCUGUCUGCUGGGGUGCUGUGGUCUCAGGCUGUAGCUAGCUGUCAGAGGAUCCUGUCUGCUGGGGUGCUGUGGUCUCAGGCUUUAGCUAGCUGUCAGAGGAUCCUGUCUGCUGGGGUGCUGUGGUCUCAGGCUGUAGCUAGCUGUCCAAGGAUCCUGUCUGCUGGGGUGCUGUGGUCUCAGGCUGUAGCUAGCCUUCAGAGGAUCCUGUCUGCUGGGGUGCUCUGUUCUCAGGCUGUAGCUAGCUGUCAGAGGAUCCUGUCUGCUGGGGUGCUCUGGUCUCAGGCUGUAGCUAGCUGUCAGAGGAUCCUCUCUGCUGGGGUGCUGUGGUCUCAGGCUGUAGCUAGCUAUCUAAGGAACUACCUUCAGCACAAAUGCUUCUGAAGGAAUGUUCUACCUCUGAUGUGCCUUGUUUCAAUGAAUCGCAAAAGAAAAAGUCAUUAUUGGGUUAAUAUUAUUUAAUAACCCUGUCAAAAUGUUUUGGUGAAUAAAUUGUGGGUUGUGAAACAAAACAGAAGUGAAGAGAACUACUGUUUAACUGUAGCUACGGUACUUUAAUGAAGAUAAUGAAGGGUUUUGGUUAUGACAUUGUUUUCUUCUACUACUACUGCGUAGUUUAGAAGCAUUUAGAAUCAUAUUGAUGUGACAAGGAAUUAUGGGUAAUUAUUUUUUUAUACCUUUAUUUCAGCAAAUCAUGCAAUUUUUAUUUGAUUUCUUUCAAAAGUAAAAAAAUUUUAUACUCCAAAAUAUUAGGCUUUUAUUUUCUUUCAUUGUUUAAAUUCAUGUUCUAAAUUACCACUGCAC